rnacentral:rRNA from 1 species
GGUUAAGUAAUUAAAGGGAUUAUUAGGGAUGCCUAGCAGAUAUGUUGAAAAGGAAGUAGAAUACUAAAAGUAUAGAUACAAUCAGAAUAUUUAUACAAUCCUAAGGUAAACCAAGUAGUAUAGAACGUUGGGAAGUAAAACAUUAUAGUACCAAUAGGAAAGGAAAUCAAAAGAGACUCUGGGAGUAAUGGUGAGUGAAACCAGAAUAGCCAAAACUUUCACUAACACGCAUAGUACUUUGGAAUAAGUAGACAUUAAAAGAAUAGAAAUAUUUUUUUAAUCCCAUAGAAGGUGAAAGUCCUGUAUGUGAUGAAAGUGAGAGUGUUAUUAAGUAAUAUGAGGACGUCAGCCUUGUAUGAAUAAGGGGGUACCAUCCUCCAAGGCUAAGUAUAACAUAUCUAGCGAUAGUGGAGAGUAACGUGAGUGAAAGGUGAAAAGUAAGUAGAUGACUAGUGAAAUAGAACCUGAACUAGUAAUCCUAUAAGCAGUUGGAGUUUUAGUAAAAAAUGACAACGUACCUUUUGCAUAAUGGGUCAGCGAGUUAGUUUAUAGAGCAAGAUGAAUAAUCUAAGCGAAAGCGACUAUAAUAAGUGGAUCAAAAAUAGUUUUAUGAACUAGACCCGAAGCCAAAUGAUCUUACCAUGGCCAGGCUAAAAAAGGGCCGAACAGGUGAAUGUUGCAAAAUUCUCUGAUGAGCUGUGGUAAGGGGUGAAAGGCCAAUCUAAUUUGGAUGAUAGCUGGUAUUCUGCGAAACCUAUUUAGGUAGGGCCUUUAUUUACACUUUUAUAUGUACAGCACUGAUCAUCAUACAUUAGCCAGAUAUUUUAUAUCACUAUGUUAAAUUGGGGGGUUUCACAACUCUACCAUUGAUGGUUAACCUCGGAAGGAUAAUAGUGAAUGAUAAGGGCACAGUCUAUUCAUGAUAAGGUGGAUAGACAAAAGGGAAACAGCCCAGAGCACGUGUUAAGGUCCCAAAAUAUUGUUAAGUGAAUAUAAGAAAGUUUAACUCCUAAUACAACCAUGAAGUAGGCUUGGAGGUACGGGGAGACCGUCAGUGCCUCAAUAGUAAGUGAUUACUAUUAUAGUACCAACUCAAAACGGUGAAGCCUAACGUUUAAUUUGUUUUAAUUAAUUAAUUAAGCUAUGGUAAUACCGUGGGUAAGUCGUAUCAUCGUAGAGAUUUCUUAAAUAUGAAUGCCUUGUACAGCAUUCACUUUGAUAUUGACCCUGUAACGACUGAUUCGAAAGAAGAGAUAGUGAUAUGAUGUAAGGGUUUACUCUUACUAAUACAUUAUAAGACGUUGGCACUCUAUGAAUCUCAGUUUACUACAUAUAUUUAUUAAUGAAAGCUAUGAACACACGACUAUUUAAGUUUAGCCCUUGGUGGCUAACAGGAUUUACUCAAGCUGAUGGAAGUUUUAUAAUUCUAAUUAAAAAACAACCUCAAGGUAAAUUCCUUUAUCGAUUUGUACCUACUUUCGAACUUUCUCAAGGUAUUCAUGAUCUUGAACUAAUGCAAGCUCUUCACACUUAUGCCUUCGGCGGUGUAGGACGACUUGUUAUUAAUCGUGAUCGUGUUAGUAUUGUGGUUACUUCAGUAAAAGAAAUUGUAACUGUAGUUCUACCACAUUUUGAGAAAUACCCGCUAAUGGGUGGAAAGUUUGUAUCCUAUCUAAUCUUCCGUAAAGUUGUUCUAGCAAUAAAUGAUAAUCAUCAUCUUACUGCUAAAGGUUUCCUAGAUAUUCUUAAUCUAUGUUAUUUUAUGAACAAUACUUCUACCCGGAAUCCUGAAUCUCUUAAACUGAUUCUCGAUACAAUUAAGAGUAGUUCUCCAGAAUUUUCUUCUGUAUAUAAUGAAGCAACUAAUUCUAAUACGCUAAUGCUAGAUUUUAGUCAAAAGAUGAACACAUCUAUAACACUAGAAUAUCUGGCAGGGCUUAUUGAUGGGGACGGAAGUUUUGGGUUUAAUUUCAGUACGACAACCUCUCGAAUUACUAGUUUUUUUCAAGUAACUCCUGCCCGGCUCCGCCGGGCUGCUAAUGAUGAUUAUAUUGUGCUUAUCGCACUUAUGGAAUACUUUGGUUGUGGUGAAGUAAAAAAAUAUACUAAUAAAGAUGCUUGUGUAUUUCGAAUUCAUAGUUAUAAAAAUCUACUAGAAAAGAUUCAACCUCUACUACUAUCAAUUCAUCUAAAUACGGUGAAACAGCUCUAUGUUGAACCAACUCUUAAAGCAUGGGAAAUUAUUACGAAAAAUCGAGUAAAAUCAAAUGCUGAUCUAGAAGAGAUUGUUAAUCUAGUUUAUAAUAUGAAUCGAGGAGGACUGAAACGAAAAGUAGAUAAAGUUACUUUUCUAUCAAUAAUCCUGAAGUUAGUUCGAUAAUAUGUUUUAGGGUUGAUUAUUCCCCUUCAUUAAUAAAUAUGAUCUAUGUUUAAUUGUAAGCUAGGUCUAAGGUAAAUAUAGAGUUGAAGGUAUAGUCUAAACUGUAAUGAAAAUUAUAGAACAAUUUGAGCCAUCUUUUAAUGAUAGUGUAACAACUCAGUGGUCUAAUUUGAGGAGAGAAGCGUCGAAAAUUAACGGGUCUUAGACAAUAUACCUACACCGUGACUAUUUAUAAUAAUAAUAUUUAUUUAUUAUAAAUAAGGGUAGCAGAACACUCAGUAUCUGAUUGAAGAAAAAUGUUUCAUUUUUUGGACAGUACUGAAGAGAAAAUGCUGACAUGAGUAACGUAGAAAGGAGUUAAAACACUCCUCGCCGAAUACGAGAGGGUUUCAUGGAGAAGUUAAUCUGCCAUGAGUUAUGCGGACUCUAAGGACUAUAGGCGAACGUCUAUAUCUGAUGAGAACUACUAGAAUUACACUGAAUUAUCUAUAUAUAAUAAUUAUUCCUCUGUUUGAAAAUUAGCAAAGUAGCUUCUGCGCUCUAUACAAUUUUAGGGGGGAAAGAUCAUAUUAGAGAUGAAUGUUAGAUCAAGAAAAGUAAGUGUCACUAUAUAUAUAGUGAAUCCGUACCCUAAACCGACACAGGUUCGUAGGUAGAGAAUACUAAGGCGUAGAGAUAAUGCUUGUGAAGGAACUCGGCAAAUUGUGCCCGUAAGUUAGACGAUAAGGGUAACCAGAAUAAACAAUUAUAUUAAAAAUUCUGAGUGUCACAAAAUCGAGGGCUGCGACUGUUUACCAAAAACACAGCAACUUGCUAAGACGAAUAGUACUUGUAUAAGUUGUGAACUCUGCCCAAUGCCAUGUCGUGUAAAGAAGGUGAUCUAUUUAUAAAUAGAGUCACUAACUGAUGCCAUGGUGAAUGGCGGUCUUAACUAUAAGGAUCUGAAAGUAGCGAAAUUCCUUGGCCAUUAAAUGUGGUCCUGCAUGAAUGAGGUAACGUGGCCCUGCUGUCUCCACAAGCAUCUCAGUGAAAUUGAAUUAGCCGUGCAGAUGCGGUUUACCUUCAGUUAGACGGGAAGACCCUAUGCAGCUUUACUGUAGCUUGAUAUUGUUUCUUUUAUAGCUAGGUGUAGUAUACAAGGGAGUAGAUAUUUUUCUACAUCAGUGAAAUACCUUGACUAGUCUAAAUAAGAAAAUAACCUAUAACCUAAUACUAGUAACGAUUCUAUUAAAUACUACUAAAAUUUUCUAGUACUAUUUUUCUAUAAGUUCUUUUUUAAUAUUCCCCCAAUAUUAAUAUUCAUAGAGUUAUUUCUAUGGCUAUAAAUAGAAGUAUUUCUAUUUAUAAGGACUUUAAAUAGUCUUUUUCUAUAACUUAUAUAGGGACAUCUUUAAGAAUUUAUCUUAAGUCAUAGAGAAUUUGUCCUAUAGAAUACAGUGAAUGUAUUAGUGGGAAAAUAUCAGGUGGUCAGUUUGACUGGGACGGUAGCCUCUAAUAAAGUAUCAGAGGCCUUCAAAGGUAUGCAUAUAUUGGUCAGAAACCAAUGAACUAUGUAAAGUUUACUAAAGCGUAAUAGUAUAAGCAUGCUUGACUGAAAGACUGAUAGGUCGAUCAGAUACGCAAGUAGGAUAUAGUGAUCCGGUGAUUCAUAAUGGAAUGGUCAUCGCUCAAGAAAUAAAAGUUACGCUAGGGAUAAACUGUUGUCCCUAUCUAUUCAUUAUUUGUGUUAACAUUGAAAUUCAUAACAUAAAAGUAGAUAGAUAUAAAAUCGGGUGAAUUGCAAGAAAAUCUUAUAAACUAAUAAGACAACUUGCAGCUAAGCUUAAAUCAGUGUAUAUCUAUAUUUGUAGAUAGUGAUGUAAGAAAGUUCAACGACUAAUCAGUGAGUUGCACUAACAAUAAUCUGGACACGAGCGCCCGACAUUUGACAGUACUAAUACAUACUACGAAAAUAUAAAAUAAAAUAAAAUAAUCUAAUAUAAAAUGAACAAUAAAAAUUUACUGGCCCUACUAAAAUUUCUAUAGAAAUUUUAUAAGCCGGAUAAAUACUAAUUUCUAUUAUUAUUAUUUUAUUAGUAAGCUCUGAUUUCAACAGGGUUAGUAUUGUAUUAGUCAUUAAAUGAUGACAUAGUCUAAACUAUAUAGUGAUAUAUAGAAAAAUAGUAUUAAAUGUGCUAUUAGUAAUGAAAAAAAAAANUCUGAUUUCAACAGGGUUAGUAUUGUAUUAGUCAUUAAAUGAUGACAUAGUCUAAACUAUAUAGUGAUAUAUAGAAAAAUAGUAUUAAAUGUGCUAUUAGUAAUGAAAAAAAAAAAUGAACAGGUUUAUCGUUUGCGAGAGUUCAUAUUGUCCAAACGGUUUGACACCUCGAUGUCGACUCAUCUCAUCCUCCAGGUGUAGUAGCUUGGAAGGGUUCAGCUGUUCGCUGAUUAAAGAGGUACGCGAGUUGGGUUCAAUACGACGUGAGUCAGUAUGGUCCCUAUCUUCUGAAGGAAAAAGUAAUCGAUUAAGGACCUCCGGUUAGUACGAAAGGACCGCUGGGGAUGAUUCCAUGGUGUACCUAUUGUUAAGUCUAUUUUUAGAUAUGGCACCGUAGGGUAGCCACAAUCAUGACAGAUAAGCGCUGAAAGCAUCUUAAGCACGAAGCACACCUUAUUAGAUUACAAGAAAUAAGAAGAAGACUACUUCUUAACGUAUUUUCUACAUCUCUUUUUGUAGAAAUGUAAAUUCGUCAUAGGGUGCAAAUGUACGUAUAGUAAUAUAUUCAGUUUAGCACUACUAAUUUAUUGAUUAACUUAAUCGU